AGUUCCUUUAAUUAAGUCCAGAGAGGCUUAGAAGGCAAUCGGACCUACCGCGGUAGGUAAUUUUUCGCAAAGUGUCAAUCCGCGCCCUCUAACCAAUCUGGCUAGAGGGCUUUUUUU
rfam:Lactobacillus brantae DSM 23927 Scaffold1, whole genome shotgun sequence.